rnacentral:rRNA from 1 species
GCUAAGUCGUAACAAGGUAGCCGUACCGGAAGGUGCGGCUGGAACACCUCCUUUCUGGAGC